CGGGGCGUAGCUCAGUCUGGUAGAGUGCUUGCUUUGGGAGCAAGAUGUCGCAGGUUCGACUCCUGUCGCCCCGACCA
rnacentral:tRNA from 1 species